CGGCAAUGAUGAAGAAUUUUGUUGAUAUGGUGUCAGGACCUCUGAGAGUUCCGUGACUGAGGUUUAGAGUUCCUGAGUCG
rfam:Caenorhabditis tropicalis strain JT1373 unplaced genomic scaffold Scaffold630, whole genome shotgun sequence.